UAGAGCUUGUUUUUCAGCAAAGAUGACAGACGUAGCGUGCCUAGUUGUGGUGCUUCAUGCGGACAUUAGACAAAAGUGCCUGCUUGAAGAGGACACUCCAACUGCUUUGAGGAGUGCUAUCUCGGCUUCGAGAAUUUUGGCGUCAUACGUGAACGCCACUGACAGGAUUCAGGUUCGGGAUAGCGACUUCAGUGGGUGUUGAAUUCGCGGAGGGCGAUGAGAUAAUGCAUACGGCGACAGUACCCGUCUUGCAACCUCACCGCCAGGAACGCUCGAAGGAUUCAACCUCCUUGCUGUCCAC